rnacentral:rRNA from 1 species
GAUGAACGCUGGCGGCGUGCCUAAUACAUGCAAGUCGAGCGAACAGACGAGGAGCUUGCUCCUCUGACGUUAGCGGCGGACGGGUGAGUAACACGUGGAUAACCUACCUAUAAGACUGGGAUAACUUCGGGAAACCGGAGCUAAUACCGGAUAAUAUAUUGAACCGCAUGGUUCAAUAGUGAAAGACGGUUUUGCUGGCACUUAUAGAUGGAUCCGCGCCGCAUUAGCUAGUUGGUAAGGUAACGGCUUACCAAGGCAACGAUGCGUAGCCGACCUGAGAGGGUGAUCGGCCACACUGGAACGGAGACACGGUCCAGACUCCUACGGGAGGCAGCAGUAGGGAAUCUUCCGCAAUGGGCGAAAGCCUGACGGAGCAACGCCGCGUGAGUGAUGAAGGUCUUCGGAUCGUAAAACUCUGUUAUUAGGGAAGAACAAAUGUGUAAGUAACUAUGCACGUCUUGACGGUACCUAAUCAGAAAGCCACGGCUAACUACGUG